UAGAGGGAGUGACCCGCGGUAACCCGCCCCCCGGUAACGGGGAAAAACUAUUGAAAACGAUAGCUAACCCCCCAAAACACUUGAUGCUGGAUACCUGCUGAAAAAGGGAGGUUGCUGCUUUAGUUGAUGGACGUGCUGCGUUUAGUUAGCUAGUGGGGGAGGUGACGGCUCACCAAGGGAUCGAUGCCUAACCGAACUGGGAGAUCGGUCACCGGGACAGUGACACAAGCCCCACCCCCAAUCCUUAGGGAGGAAUAGGGAAUCUUCCUACCGGCAUGGAUGGCUGACCGACCAACACCGCCCCCGUGAAAGAGGAAAACAUUUCGAAACCAUCUGUCUGUGUUGUUAAAAAAGAACGAGAGGGGGAGUGCACACUGCCUCCUUCUCUUUCAUCCUAGGAACCCAUAACUACUGCUUGGGCCGCCCUCGCAAAUAGGUACGGAGCUACCGCCGGAUUUAUUGAUUGAUUUGUACAGCAAGCGCGCGCAGGCGCUAAGACAAAUGUGACUGUCACUGAUGCAGCUUAACCAUGGAAUGCUGUGAAAGUUGGACUGAAGAGCAGAACAGGAGAGUGGAGUGUACUUGCGGUUGCAUGGCGAUGCAUAGAGAUAAUAUCACGAAGAGGGAAAAGGGGACGGCUGAGUCUCUGUCUCUGUACACUGGAAACUGACGCUCCAAGGUCGAGC
rnacentral:rRNA from 1 species